rnacentral:miRNA from 1 species
UGGCAGUGCAUUUAGCUGGGUAA